CCUACGGGAGGCAGCAGUGGGGAAUAUUGGGCAAUGGGCGCAAGCCUGACCCAGCAACGCCGCGUGAAGGAAGAAGGCCCUCGGGUUGUAAACUUCUUUUGUCAGGGACGAAACAAAUGACGGUACCUGACGAAUAAGCCACGGCUAACUACGUGCCAGCAGCCGCGGUAAUACGUAGGUGGCAAGCGUUAUCCGGAUUUACUGGGUGUAACGGGCGGGUUGGCGGGAGAGAAAGUCUGAUGUGAAAUUCCAGGGCUCAACCCUGGAACUGCAUGUGAAACUGUUUUUCUUGAGUGAUGGAGAGGCAGGCGGAAUUCCGGGUGUAGCGGUGAAAUGCGUAGAUAUACGGAGGAACACCAGUGGCGAAGGCGGCAUGCUGGACAUUAACUGACGCUGAGGCGCGAAAGCGUGGGGAGCAAACAGGAUUAGAUACCCCAGUAGUC
rnacentral:rRNA from 1 species